rnacentral:lncRNA from 1 species
AGACUUGGGUAAGCCGGCAUCGGCCAACAGGGAGGACAGUGCCCCCACUAUGAGAUUUCGACGCCUGACUCCUGGCUACUUCCGGGUGCUACAGAUGCAGGUGGCUGGGGAGCUGAAGGCAGAGCCCCGGAGUCCCCUGGUUGGGAUUGUGGCUACAUUGUUGGCUGUCCUCGGGUUAGGUGGCUCCUGCUAUGCAGUAUGGAAGAUGGUGAAGCAGCGGCAACCAUCACAGGCCCCGUGAUGAGGCGGGUAGCCUCUCGCCCAGGCUUGGAGGUAGGCGAUUCAGGGGAGGGGGCUGCAAUAUCCGAAUCCCACUUUUUUCCCCUUGGGGAUUAGUCUCAGCCAUCGCUAGAUCCUACUCCCAAGUUUUACGCUGUACCUAGCCAGACUCCAGCCUAGAUCCAAAGAAGCAGGGGGAGGAUACCCGUUCCAAAGCUGGACCUAGUAGGGAGUAGACAUCUUGGCCCAGAAACCCCUGGUAAGGGAAGUUAGUAUCGGAGGUGUGCCCUCUUGUCCAGGUCCUUUAUUUUGGGCAGAACACCCGGAAGAGAGCAUCUCCGCAAACCGGAAAUCCAAAAUACACACUCUCAGCUUGGCUGAUGAACCACUGCCCAUGGGCAGUUCCUCUGCCCUGCAUCCUUAGGCCACUCAGGUGGACGUGUCCAUCUCAGGGAUAUCAGUGGACACUUCUGUGGGCACGCCCAGCCGCUGGGGUUGAACAUACGAGCCCAUGCCCGCUGCCCUCUCAGCUUCUUCCUGACUGUAGGGUUCGACACUCAGCUGCUUCAGCCUGGGAAAAAGAAGAGUUGGAGAUCGGAGCUCACCGAGUGCAAACCCUUCCUGCAUGGCACCCAUCCGCCAGUCCUCUACUGACCCCUCCAUACCUUUUCUUGUGGUCUUUGGAUCGGAAAUGGGUCUUCAGGUUGGCUGAAUCGAUGAAGUACCUCCUGCAGGAAUGUAGGGUGAGGGAAAGAGUGAAGGGGUGAGGUCUCUCACACCUCCCUGGCCCUAGCUCGUUCCCAGACAUCGGAUUCUGAACCCGAAGUGAUAAGUGGCGGGUUGACCCAGGGAUCCCAAGACAGAACCUUCUAGCGGCUCGCGGCCCGGACCUCGCUGCCCCUAGCUAGUACCUCAGACCCUGCUCCUCCCCAGGCUGGACUCACGCGCAAGCCAGACAGCGAUGCAGGCCGCCCCCUGGCAGGUCCGGGUCGGGCUCCGCGUCCGGCUCCGGCUUGGGCCGCGGGAGCCCCUGCGGCCUCAGCUCGCGAUGAAUCUCAUCCAGGUCCGGCCGCCGCUUCUUGGCCUUCAUCUGGCGGGCUAAGGAAUGUGCUCGGUGCGCGCCGGUCCGCCGAGAGCGACCCAUGAUCAGAGAGACACCCACACACAAGACCAAGAAACAGGGAGUAGGGAAAAGACCCACACGUGUUGGCGCUUCCGGGCCGCCCAGUGACGUCACGAGAGGCCCGCCCGGGGGCGGAGCAGGAUUGGACAGACUGCCUCUGAUGACGUCACGGUCGGGUUGGCCGUUUGAGCGCCCCCAGAUGGUCGUCGAUGAUAGUGACUGGGCUCUCGCGGGGCGUGAGCGGGCUUGAGGGGAGCCGGUCCCACUAUUCUGCCCGCCCCAUCCUCACUUGCCGGUUUCCACACCCCGAAUUUCAGUGGUAGGGGAUGCUUUUAACGUCUCUGGAAGCACUGUUGCUUGUGCCAUGAAUAAAUUACUUCAUAAAUG